UCCCCAAUUGACCAUUAUAACACAUUAAUCCGAAAACUCCAACCGUUAUUGUCAAGACCCAGAAGAUCUAACCAAAAUGACUCCCCUACCAACAAAAAAUGGUUUGACCACGAAUGCACUCAGGCAAAACUUAUACUCAGGGAAUGCUUUAAGGUCUUCCAGCAAAAUCCUAACCCUAUCACUAAAUUGGAGUUACAACUU